CCCUGGUGAAAGAAAAUGAAGGCCUGAAACAAGGCAGAGAAGGCAAAGAUAAACUUGAUAUCUAAUGGAAUAUGGGGGGAUAAGAAGAAGAAAAACAUUCCUGCAGGACUGGUCUGGGCAGAAGAGGAGUUGUGGUAACUAGAUAUGAGGAGAAAGAGAGGAAGGAGGCACAGAGCAGUUGGAGCUUGCUGCCUGGAAGAAUGACGGUAUGAUAAAGAGAUGGGAUGAUGUGAAAUAAUUCACAUUGUUAAUUAUGAAGUGUGUUUUGAAUCACCUCAGUGUUACCCAGAAACGACACUCGGUUAUCAUGUUCAGAUAGGGGACAAUGUGUUUUUGCAGUGAUAGCAGUGGAGGGGAAGGGUUGUCAGCUUAAGGGGCAGUUGGUCAUUCUGUCAUCAAAUGAAUUAGUAGCAAGACUUGACCAGCAUUUGUGAAUAAUGAAGCUUUUCUUGCUGACAAACUGCUGAUGUUUACAUUGGGC
rnacentral:lncRNA from 1 species